UAGAAAUCUAGCUCCUUCUAAUGUAACCCUAUUACCACUAGGUCAAGUAACCUAGAGUUUGGGUCAAACACAAAUUAGGGUUUACUUGAACAGGUUUCUUGUUUUUUGUUUUUUUUGUUUUCUUGUAACAGAAACACUACAUCUUUUGGUUUUCCAUUCUAACCCACUUUCAGUUUCUUCCGGGCUUCAGGCUCUUCUUCCUAUUCUCUGUUUCUCUUCCAAAGCUUGAAAAUUUGAGGAGCCCCCCCCCAUCACUGUUGUCUUUCGCAACCACGGUACACUCACUACUUCAUUUCAUCCUUCCUUUUCACAAAACAAAUGCUUGUGCUUCUUGAUCUCCUUCGCGCUUUACUGCUUUCUUUCACCCAAAUUGAUUUCUACGCGUCUUUCAUUCUCGUUCAAUCUAUCGAAUUGCUACCUUCUACAUUCUUUGUUCUUGAUUUCUACGAGUAGAAAUAUUGGUGUUGCUGCAGGCACAAAUGUGUGUAUCUUCUAUUAUGUCAACUUUGAGGUGAACAUUUGUUGUGUAUUCGAUUGCCAAUGUACAUUUUAGAUGAGUCUUGCCGAGUCUCCACUACACUCUUCUAGCAGUGAUGACUUCCGGGUUGCUUGAGAGAGAACUAGACUCCGGUUCUUCCGAGCCAUUACCAGAGGAAGAAGAUGAAGAAGAUAAAGAAGCUGAUGAUGUUGAAAGUGAGAGCAGGAUAAAAAGGCGUAGGGGAGAUAAUCUGGAAAGCGUAGAGGAAACUAAUGGGUCGACCUUACAAGUACUUUCAGAACAAAACUCAGAAGCAUCUGCAACGGAGGAUAUGUGUGCACAUCCUGGGUCAUUUGGAGAACUGUGUUUUGUUUGUGGCCAGAGGUUGAUUGAGCAGUCUGGUGUGACAUUUGGGUACAUACUCAAGAGAGGGAAGAUUAACAGGCAGAAAUUUGUGGACGACUACAAGACUCUGGUGACGGAAUACUGCAGAAAUUUACAGAGAGUAGUUAAGGGCUUGGGAGAGACUUUGGUGGGUGCAUAUCCUGGACGAGCCAUGAGCUUCAUAACCCAGAAAGCCAAUCUAAACUCUCCUAUCGUUAAUUGUUAUCCAAGCAAGCCAAUAUGGCUGUAUAGCAAGCAGUCUGUCACAUUCAGAGCAGACUCGAAUGCUGAGGUUCUGGAAGGAUAUGCAGGUGCAGGGCUUCAUGACAGUGUAAUUAUGGAUAAAGAGGAGAAGAUUGUGUGGGAUUACUCAAGCGAUCGGAUGAUCUUUGAUAGGGGCUUCCAAGUCUCACUCUUCUCAAGAAUUGCAGACGUGGGGAAGAUAUUAGAAGGCCUUUAUGGUUGUCCUCAGGACAUUGAAGGUGUGGUAAAAGAUGGAUUGAUAUACGUAGUUCAGUCAAGGCCACAAAUCUAGCCUUCAGCGACCGCAGGUUACUAUUUAUGCUGAAACUAAUUGAUUUUCAAGGUAAGCGUAUGAAUGUUCAGUUACUUUUGUUUAAGCAUAUGCCUAAUAAAUAUUUGCAUGAAUUAAUAUAGGUACAGAAUAUUCCUUCAGAACUUUUUCCUUUAUUCUUAUUUUUUUGGAAUGGUAAGUUUGAAUUUUAUAUCUCUUCCAACAUUUUGAACAGCAUAUAUUACUCUACUAGCUUGUUUCUUCAACAAUUAACAUUUAGUAACCAGCUUGUGGUUGCCUGGUGAUAUAUCUGGGUCGCUUACAGUUGCACCAUCAUAUGGGCAAACAUUAGUGUUGAUAAUAUGAAUUCGAUGUUGGAAAAUAGAGACCUAUUUUAAGGGAUUCCAAGGUAAGGGUUAACUUCGUCCAUUGUCAAUUAGUUUUGGUUAUGAAGCCAACAUCUAUUUCGAAUUUUCACUACUUUAUAAUUUGUCUUUUGCAUUAUUGGUUCCCAAGAAUCAACCUUCCUGGAAUUGAGUCAACUUGCUCGGUUGUUGGGUCAAGUUGCUUUGAGUCAACCUUCCUGGAAUUGUGAACAUGACCAUAAUCAAAGUAGGUGAAGAUUCAUUUUGUUGGCCUCUCGACACAAUAAACACUACAGUCACAUGGUAUAACUGUAUAGGUGCGAAGAGUCAAUUUGACCAUUUGAGUUUCUGCAUUCAUAGUGAAAAGGCAUUUAUUUGAAAUGUAAGAAUAAAUGCAAAGCAGUGUUUUGUCUUGCCCUGUUUCCCAAAGAGAGCAAUUUAAUGUGUAUUUUAACUUUGCAGUGUAAUCGUGGAUAAAGAGGAGAAUAUUGUGUUGGACUACUUGAGUGAUCGGAUGAUCAUUGAUGGAGCCUUCCAAGUCUCACUCUUGUCAAGAAUUGCACAAGGCAUUUGCGGUUGUUCUAAGGACAUUGAAUGUGUGGUAAAAGAUGAACUGAUAUAUGCAGUUCAGUCGAGGCCACAAAUCUAGCCUUAGCAACCACAUCUUGUGUUGUAUUUGUUAUGGGCAUGUUCUUGUCAGAAUGAUAGGUAUGAAAAGAAAAAUAGAGAUUUUUUUUAAUUUUUUUUUUUUGUCACAGAAUCAAUUUAGGCUAAAGGUUUGUUGUAACAAAAGAAAAAGGCUGGUAAAAAAAAAAAAGGCGGGUCAACUGAAGUCCUACAUGAGUUUAUUCAUGGGAAUUACCUGGAAAAGAAAAGAUUCCACCUCACUCUCUAGAUGAUGGAGUGAGCAUUGGAUUUUAUUCAUUUCUUAUUAGCAAUUACUUAAGGUAGAACGGGUUCUUGAGCUUCAGAGGGAGAAGCAAAUCAGAAAUGGCUUCAUCCUCCUCCUUCACAGAAAGGUACGACGUGUUCUUGAGCUUCAGAGGCGAAGACACACAACUACUUCACGAGCCACUUCUGCAGUAAAUUAGUUGCGUCUGGAAUCCAUACCUUCAUCGACAACAAACUAAGGAGAGGGAAAGAUAUAUCACUGUCAUUGAUCAGGGCAAUCAAAGGGUCUAGGAUCUCUCUCAUAGUCUUCUCAGCGAACUAUGCAAGUUCAAGAUGGUGUCUUGAUGAGCUGGUAAAGAUCAUGGAGUGUAGAAAAACAUUGGGGCAGGCUGUUUUUCCAAUAUUCUAUCAUGUUGAUCCAUCAGAUGUCAGACAUCAGAUGUGUAGUACUUUUGCGGAGGCAUUUGUAAUUUAUAAAGCUGCAAAUGGAUAUCAGAGAAUGUAUCCAGGUGGAUAGCUGCAAAUUUGUCUGGCUUCCAUCUUCGUACUACUGCUAAUAGGUGAUGGAUUUUGUUAUUCCCAAUAGGUCUUGCAAAGCUUUUCUGGACUUGCUGGAGACACAAUUGUUAGAGUGACUACUGUGACUUAAUUCGAUUAAGUAUUUUCCUCAAUUGUCAUUGUGGGCGGAGCUGUAUAAUAGAGAUGAUCCUAACACUCCUCCAAACUCUUUUCCCGUGUGACCUUCAUUGUCGUCUUCACGUUCUCCUCUCCAGUCAACAAUGGCAGACGACGAUGUCAACGACAUUGAUAUGGGGUUGUCUCUGAGUGCCUCAUAGUUAUCAAUACUUCAUAAAAUUGUGAUGAGGCGGAAGGCCAGUUAUUGAGGUCAUUAUAUUCAGCACUGCCCUACAAAUGGUGAUCCAAAUUAUGACAUCAAAAGAGUGAAACCACCCACUGGCAUUCCCAAGUCCAUGGUGAUAGCAACCCCAGAUGGCUCAUAUGCACUGCCGAGUGGUGCAGUAGCUGUAUUGAGGCCGAAUGAGGCUGCUUUUGAGAAAGAGAUCGAAGGUUUACCGUCUACGCGUUCUGUUGGUGAUUUACCACCUGAGCUACACUGCCCCUUGUGCAAGGAAGUGAUGAAAGAUGCUGUUUUAACGAGCAAGUGUUGCUUUAAGAGUUUUUGUGAUAAGUGUAUCAGGAAUUACAUUGCCUCAAAGUCAGUGUGUGUCUGUGGGGCUACAAAUACACUUGCAGAUGAUCUACUGCCAAAUAAGACUCUCAGGGAUACCAUCAAUUGAAUCUUGCAGUCUGUUAACAGUAGCAUUGAUAACGCUGGGAGUGCUUUCCAAGUUCAAGG